AAAUGCGAUAAGUAAUGUGCAUUGCAGAAUUCAGUGAAUCAUCGAAUCUUUGAACGCACCUUGCGCUCCUUGGUAUUCCUUGGAGCAUGCCUGUUUGAGUAUCAUGAAAUCUUCAAAGUAAAUCUUUUGUUAACUCAAUUGGUUUCUACUUUGGUAUUGGAGGUCUUUGCAGCUUCACACCUGCUCCCCUUUGUUCAUUAGCUGGAUCUCAGUGUUAUGCUUGGUUCCACUCGGCGUGAUAAGUUAUCUAUCGCUGAGGACACUGUAAAAGGUGGCCAAGGUAAAUGCAGAUGAACCGCUUCUAAUAGUCCAUUGACUUGGACAAUACUUUUAUGAUCUGAUCUCAAAUCAGGUAGGACUACCCGCUGAACUUAAGC
rnacentral:misc_RNA from 1 species